rnacentral:rRNA from 1 species
UAAACUCCUGUUGUUGAGGAAGAUAAUGACGGUACUCAACAAGGAAGUGACGGCUAACUACGUGCCAGCAGCCGCGGUAAAACGUAGGUCACAAGCGUUGUCCGGAAUUACUGGGUGUAAAGGGAGCGCAGGCGGGCGAUCAAGUUGGAAGUGAAAUCCAUGGGCUCAACCCAUGAACUGCUUUCAAAACUGAUUGUCUUGAGUAGUGCAGAGGUAGGCGGAAUUCCCGGUGUAGCGGUGGAAUGCGUAGAUAUCGGGAGGAACACCAGUGGCGAAGGCGGCCUACUGGGCACCAACUGACGCUGAGGCUCGAAAGUGUGGGUAGCAAACAGGAUUAGAUACCCUGGUAGUCCACACCGUAAACGAUGAUUACUAGGUGUUGGAGGAUUGACCCCUUCAGUGCCGCAGUUAACACAAUAAGUAAUCCACCUGGGGAGUACGACCGCAAGGUUGAAACUCAAAGGAAUUGACGGGGGCCCGCACAAGCAGUGGAGUAUGUGGUUUAAUUCGACGCAACGCGAAGAACCUUACCAAGUCUUGACAUCCUGCGACGGACAUAGAAAUAUGUUUUUCCUUCGGGACGCAGAGACAGGUGGUGCAUGGUUGUCGUCAGCUCGUGUCGUGAGAUGUUGGGUUAAGUCCCGCAACGAGCGCAACCCUUAUGGUCAGUUACUACGCAAGAGGACUCUGGCCGGACUGCCGUUGACAAA